GCCCCCUUAACUCAGUUGGUAGAGUGCCUCACUUGUAAUGAGGAUGUCAUCCGUUCAAUUCGGAUAGGGGGCC
rnacentral:tRNA from 1 species